rnacentral:rRNA from 1 species
UACAGAGGCCUCGAGCGUUAGGCGGAAUCACUGGGCUUAAAGCGUGUGUAGGUGGAUGCCUAAGUACCUUGUGAAAUCCCAUGGCUUAACCAUGGAAUUGCUUGGUAUACUGGGUGUCUUGAGCCACUCAGGGGCUACUGGAACAAACGGUGGAGCGGUGAAAUGCGUAGAUAUCGUUUGGAACGCCAAUGGUGAAAACAAGUAGCUGGGGGUGUGCUGACACUGAGACACGAAAGCCAGGGGAGCAAACGGG